GCGGCGUGCUUAACACAUGCAAGUCGAACGGAAAGGCCCUGCUUUUGUGGGGUGCUCGAGUGGCGAACGGGUGAGUAACACGUGAGUAACCUGCCCUUGACUUUGGGAUAACUUCAGGAAACUGGGGCUAAUACCGGAUAGGAGCUCCUGCUGCAUGGUGGGGGUUGGAAAGUUUCGGCGGUUGGGGAUGGACUCGCGGCUUAUCAGCUUGUUGGUGGGGUAGUGGCUUACCAAGGCUUUGACGGGUAGCCGGCCUGAGAGGGUGACCGGCCACAUUGGGACUGAGAUACGGCCCAGACUCCUACGGGAGGCAGCAGUGGGGAAUAUUGCACAAUGGGCGGAAGCCUGAUGCAGCAACGCCGCGUGCGGGAUGACGGCCUUCGGGUUGUAAACCGCUUUCGCCUGUGACGAAGCGUGAGUGACGGUAAUGGGUAAAGAAGCACCGGCUAACUACGUGCCAGCAGCCGCGGUGAUACGUAGGGUGCGAGCGUUGUCCGGAUUUAUUGGGCGUAAAGGGCUCGUAGGUGGUUGAUCGCGUCGGAAGUGUAAUCUUGGGGCUUAACCCUGAGCGUGCUUUCGAUACGGGUUGACUUGAGGAAGGUAGGGGAGAAUGGAAUUCCUGGUGGAGCGGUGGAAUGCGCAGAUAUCAGGAGGAACACCAGUGGCGAAGGCGGUUCUCUGGGCCUUUCCUGACGCUGAGGAGCGAAAGCGUGGGGAGCGAACAGGCUUAGAUACCCUGGUAGUCCACGCUGUAAACGGUGGGAACUAGGUGUGGGGUCCAUUCCACGGGUUCCGUGCCGUAGCUAACGCUUUAAGUACCCCGCCUGGGGAGUACGGCCGCAAGGCUAAAACUCAAAGGAAUUGACGGGGCCCCGCACAAGCGGCGGAGCAUGCGGAUUAAUUCGAUGCAACGCGUAGAACCUUACCUGGGUUUGACAUGGAUCGGGAGUGCUCAGAGAUGGGUGUGCCUCUUUUGGGGUCGGUUCACAGGUGGUGCAUGGCUGUCGUCAGCUCGUGUCGUGAGAUGUUGGGUUAAGUCCCGCAACGAGCGCAACCCUUGUUCACUGUUGCCAGCACGUUAUGGUGGGGACUCAGUGGAGACCGCCGGGGUCAACUCGGAGGAAGGUGGGGAUGACGUCAAGUCAUCAUGCCCCUUAUGUCCAGGGCUUCACGCAUGCUACAAUGGCUGGUACAGAGAGUGGCGAGCCUGUGAGGGUGAGCGAAUCUCGGAAAGCCGGUCUCAGUUCGGAUUGGGGUCUGCAACUCGACCUCAUGAAGUCGGAGUCGCUAGUAAUCGCAGAUCAGCAACGCUGCGGUGAAUACGUUCCCGGGGCUUGUACACACCGCCCGUCAAGUCAUGAAAGUUGGUAACACCCGAAGCCGGUGGCCUAACCGUUGUGGGGGAGCCGUCGAAGGUGGGACUGGUGAUUAGGACUAAGUC
rnacentral:rRNA from 1 species